rnacentral:rRNA from 1 species
UUGAAAGGGAAACGAUUGAAGUCAGUCGUGCUGGCGCGAAAUCAACCUUCUCGUCUUGAGAUCACAUGGCGUGGCGAGCCUCAAAACCGUCACGAAGCGUGNACUCUUGGUGAAAUGGAGCACUUUCGCGUCCGCUGGUUAACAUCAAUUUCGAACGUCAUAAAAAGGCUGGAGGGAUGUGGCUCCUUCGGGAGUGUUAUAACCUUUAGCGGAAUGUGGUGUUCGGGAUUGAGGAUUGCAACGAAUACCUUUAGGGCUGUUCCACCUGGCUUCUCUUUGGUAUCCUGGUGACGACAGCUUGCUGACGUCGUUAGGAUUCGCCCUUUGAACAGGCUAGAGGGGUGAGCAAAUUCGUUAAGGAUGUUGACGUA